rnacentral:rRNA from 1 species
CAGGCUUAACACAUGCAAGUCGAGCGCCUCGCAAGGGGAGCGGCAGAGGUGAGUAACGCGUGGGAACGUACCCCCCGGUUCGGAAUAACUCAGGGAAACUUGAGCAUACCGGAUACGGCUGAGAGGCGAAAGAUUUAUCGCCGGGGGAUCGGCCCGCGUCCGAAGCUAGUUGGUGUGGUAAUGGCGCACCAAGGCGACGAUCGGUAGCUGGUCUGAGAGGAAUCAGCCACAUUGGGACUGAGACACGGCCCAAACUCCUACGGGAGGCAGCAGUGGGGAAUUGGACAAUGGGCGCAAGCCUGAUCCAGCCAUGCCGCGUGAGUGAUGAAGGCCUUAGUUGUAAAGCUCUUUCGCCCACGACGAUAAUGACGGUAGUGGGAGAAGAAGCCCCGGCUCUUCGUGCCAGCAGCCGCGGUAAUACGAAGGGGGCUAGCGUUGUUCGGAAUUACUGGGUAAAGCGCGUGUAGGCGGGUCUUUAAGUCAGGGGUGAAAUGCCAAGGCUCAACCUUGGCUGCCUUUGAUACUGGAGAUCUUGAGUCCGGGAGAGGUGAGUGGAACUGCGAGUGUAGGUGAAAUUCGUAGAUAUUCGCAAGAACACCAGUGGCGAAGGCGGCUCACUGGCCCGGAUGACGCUGAGACGCGAAAGCGUGGGGAGCAAACAGGAUUAGAUACCCUGGUAGUCCACUGUAAACGAUGGAUGCUAGCCGUUGGGGAGCUUGCUCUUCAGUGGCGCAGCUAACGCC